GAUGAACGCUGGCGGCGUGCCUAAUACAUGCAAGUCGAGCGAAUGGAUUAAGAGCUUGCUCUUAUGAAGUUAGCGGCGGACGGGUGAGUAACACGUGGGUAACCUGCCCAUAAGACUGGGAUAACUCCGGGAAACCGGGGCUAAUACCGGAUAACAUUUUGAACCGCAUGGUUCGAAAUUGAAAGGCGGCUUCGGCUGUCACUUAUGGAUGGACCCGCGUCGCAUUAGCUAGUUGGGGAGGUAACGGCUCACCAAGGCAACGAUGCGUAGCCGACCUGAGAGGGUGAUCGGCCACACGGGGACUGAGACACGGCCCAGACUCCUACGGGAGGCAGCAGUAGGGAAUCUUCCGCAAUGGACGAAAGUCUGACGGAGCCACGCCGCGUGAGUGAUGAAGGCUUUCGGGUCGUAAAACUCUGUUGUUAGGGAAGAACAAGUGCUAGUUGAAUAAGCUGGCACCUUGACGGUACCUAACCAGAAAGCCACGGCUAACUACGUGCCAGCCGCCGCCGUAA
rnacentral:rRNA from 1 species